CCAGCUGUGGUGUAGUGGUUUGAGCACUGCACUAUGACUCUGGAGACCAAGGUUCGAAUCCCGGCUGGG